UACGUAGGGUGCAAGCGUUAAUCGGAAUUACUGGGCGUAAAGCGUGCGCAGGCGGUUCGCUAAGACCGAUGUGAAAUCCCCGGGCUUAACCUGGGAACUGCAUUGGUGACUGGCGGGCUAGAGUAUGGCAGAGGGGGGUAGAAUUCCACGUGUAGCAGUGAAAUGCGUAGAGAUGUGGAGGAAUACCGAUGGCGAAGGCAGCCCCCUGGGCCAAUACUGACGCUGAGGCGCGAAAGCUAGGGGAGCAAACGGGG
rnacentral:rRNA from 1 species